rnacentral:rRNA from 1 species
UACAGAGGGUGCGAGCGUUGUUCGGAAUUAUUGGGCGUAAAGCGCUUGUAGGCGGCACGUCAAGUCGCGUGUGAAAUCCCCAGGCUUAACCUGGGAAGUGCGCGCGAAACUGACGAGCUUGAGUGCCGGAGAGGGUCGCGGAAUUCCCGGUGUAGAGGUGUAAUUCGUAGAUAUCGGGAGGAACACCAGUGGCGAAGGCGGCGACCUGGACGGACACUGACGCUGAGACGCGAAAGCGUGGGGAGCAAACAGG